rnacentral:lncRNA from 1 species
CACAGAGCCCGGGCCGCAGGCACCUCCUCGCCAGCUCUUCCGCUCCUCUCACAGCCGCCAGACCCGCCUGCUGAGCCCCAUGGCCCGCGCUGCUCUCUCCGCCGCCCCCAGCAAUCCCCGGCUCCUGCGAGUGGCACUGCUGCUCCUGCUCCUGGUAGCCGCUGGCCGGCGCGCAGCAGUCAGUGAGUCUCUUCUUCCCUAGGAGCGUCCGUGGCCACUGAACUGCGCUGCCAGUGCUUGCAGACCCUGCAGGGAAUUCACCCCAAGAACAUCCAAAGUGUGAACGUGAAGUCCCCCGGACCCCACUGCGCCCAAACCGAAGUCAUAGCCACACUCAAGAAUGGGCGGAAAGCUUGCCUCAAUCCUGCAUCCCCCAUAGUUAAGAAAAUCAUCGAAAAGAUGCUGAACAGUGACAAAUCCAACUGACCAGAAGGGAGGAGGAAGCUCACUGGUGGCUGUUCCUGAAGGAGGCCCUGCCCUUAUAGGAACAGAAGAGGAAAGAGAGACACAGCUGCAGAGGCCACCUGGAUUGUGCCUAAUGUGUUUGAGCAUCGCUUAGGAGAAGUCUUCUAUUUAUUUAUUUAUUCAUUAGUUUUGAAGAUUCUAUGUUAAUAUUUUAGGUGUAAAAUAAUUAAGGGUAUGAUUAACUCUACCUGCACACUGUCCUAUUAUAUUCAUUCUUUUUGAAAUGUCAACCCCAAGUUAGUUCAAUCUGGAUUCAUAUUUAAUUUGAAGGUAGAAUGUUUUCAAAUGUUCUCCAGUCAUUAUGUUAAUAUUUCUGAGGAGCCUGCAACAUGCCAGCCACUGUGAUAGAGGCUGGCGGAUCCAAGCAAAUGGCCAAUGAGAUCAUUGUGAAGGCAGGGGAAUGUAUGUGCACAUCUGUUUUGUAACUGUUUAGAUGAAUGUCAGUUGUUAUUUAUUGAAAUGAUUUCACAGUGUGUGGUCAACAUUUCUCAUGUUGAAACUUUAAGAACUAAAAUGUUCUAAAUAUCCCUUGGACAUUUUAUGUCUUUCUUGUAAGGCAUACUGCCUUGUUUAAUGGUAGUUUUACAGUGUUUCUGGCUUAGAACAAAGGGGCUUAAUUAUUGAUGUUUUCAUAGAGAAUAUAAAAAUAAAGCACUUAUAGAAAAAACUCGUUUGAUUUUUGGGGGGAAACAAGGGCUACCUUUACUGGAAAAUCUGGUGAUUUAUA